UACGGGGGGAGCAAGCGUUGUUCGGAUUUACUGGGCGUAAAGGGCGCGUAGGCGGUCAGCACAAGUCAGUUGUGAAAUCUCCGGGCUUAACUCGGAAAGGUCAACUGAUACUGUGCGACUAGAGUGCGGAAGGGGCAACUGGAAUUCUCGGUGUAGCGGUGAAAUGCGUAGAUAUCGGGAGGAAUGACCAGUGGCGAAGGCGGCUUCUUGGCCUGGUUCUUGACGCUGAGGCGGCGAAAGCUGGG
rnacentral:rRNA from 1 species